UUUGUACUUUUUACUUGUUUAAUGUUCCAAUUUCCACCCAUCAUUGUGAGUCAAUCAAUAUUUACAUCAGUUAGUUAGUAGGAAAUAUAAUCUAUACAAAGUACAUGUAUUAAGUAAUCAAUCAUCCUACUUCACAGAUAGGGUAGGACAAAGUUUACCCGUGGUAUGGAAUGUUUGCCAAAUAUAGCAAAUAGGUGCAGAACUAAAUGUGCAAAACAUUAUAUGCAAGACAGACCAAACUAUAAAUUAUACAUAUAAAACUAUCUUUUAUACCAAAUCAAUUUUUGUUUUUCUUAAAUUC